AGCCAUCCACGCGGCUGAGGCGGGAGAGACACCGCCUCCGUGCGCCGGCGGGGGCAGCGAAUGGCGACGGCCUUCCCGGCCCUGCCCCGGCCCCGUGGCACCGACCCCCACCACGGAGCCCCAGAAGCAGCCCCGCGGAACCCCCUCUGCCCGCCGAGGACAGCUGCGGCGGCCACGGCGUGAGAGGAGGGAGAGCUCGCCCCGCCUUCCUGCCGGCUUGCCGAUGAGCAGAGAACGCAGGCAGGAGCGGCGGCGAGGGUUCCGAGGGCCACAAAGAUGAAAUGUUCAAAUCGUGGCCUCAGAGAAGCCUUAAAUUAAAGGCCUCCUGCGAAGAACAUCAGGGGAAGGUUGGGAUCAGCCACUAUCUCCUGAGGCAGUUCCUCAGCUACACUGCGGCCGCCGUGCGUCUCCCAAGAUGGAGGUGGUUCAUAUUCAGUGCAGGAAUGGAAAGAAAACUAAUUGUGGAUCAGAUGCCAACAACCAGAAAAGCCAGAGGAACACGCUAGUCCAAAGAACAAGGUACACCUCAGAUAAACCUCACUUCAGCCACUACUGGCGCGGGGUCAGUAGCCACGGUGCAGCUCCGAGCGCUGAAGGCCUGCCUGCUGCAUUUACCAGUGGCAGCACCGCACGGACAAAAAGAGGAAUUUAGAACGCACGUUCACGUUUUUCUGCAGGACGGCCACGCUACGGGGACAAUCCUCGCUUUUGCUUUUCCAGCUGAGAAGCAAAGCAGGGAAACAAGCUGCGUUUUAAUUUCACUGUCGUUGUUCCUGCUGGAUGAACCUAAGGAGAAAACGAGGGCUCUCAUGGAAGCCAGCGCUGAACCUGUGUCGUUAAUAAAGUCACACAGCUCCAGUUAAUGCCUAAAGUGUAGUUCCCAACCUGAACUAACACACGAAAUAACCACCAAAUCCCGGCCCUCUUUCCCCCGCCUCGCAUCCGAAUGCAAGCGGCGACGGAAAACCUGCGGGGAGAAAACUGCCGC